UACGUAGGGGGCAAGCGUUGUCCGGAUUCAUUGGGCGUAAAGAGCGUGUAGGCGGCCAGGUAGGUCGGUUGUGAAAACUGGAGGCUCAACCUUCAGAGGUCGACCGAAACCAUCUGGCUAGAGUCCGGGAGAGGAGAGUGGAAUUCCUGGUGUAGCGGUGAAAUGCGCAGAUAUCGUAAGGAAGACCAGUGGCGAAGGCGGAUCUCUGGACAGUUACUGACACUGAGGCACGAAGGCCAGGGGAGCAAACGGG
rnacentral:rRNA from 1 species